UACGGAGGGGGCAAGCGUUGUUCGGAAUUACUGGGCGUAAAGGGCGCGCAGGCGGCUGCUCAAGUCAGGCGUGAAAGGCCUGGGCUCAACCCGGGAACUGCGUCCGAUACUGGUUGGCUUGAAUCCGGGAGAGGGAUGCGGAAUUCCAGGUGUAGCGGUGAAAUGCGUAGAUAUCUGGAGGAACACCGGUGGCGAAGGCGGCAUCCUGGACCGGCAUUGACGCUGAGGCGCGAAAGCCAGGGGAGCAAACGGG
rnacentral:rRNA from 1 species